GGGAAUUUUGGGCAAUGGGCGAAAGCCUGACCCAGCAACGCCGCGUGAGGGAUGAAGGAUUUCGGUAUGUAAACCUCGAAAGAAUGGGAAGAAUAAAUGACGGUACCAUUUAUAAGCUCAGGCUAACUUCGUGCCAGCAGCCGCGGUACUAAGUCGGUAGCAAGCGGUGUUCGGAUUUACUGGGCGUAAGUGGAGCGUAGGCGGCGCGGUAAGUCACUUGUGAAAUCUCUGAGCUUAACUCAGAACGGCCAAGUGAUACUGCUGUGCUAGAGUGCGGAAGAGGCAACCGGAAUUCUUGGUGUAGCGGGGAAAUGCGUAGAUAUCAAGAGGAACACCUGAGGCGAAGGCGGGUUUCUGGGCCGACACUGACGCUGAUGCGCGAAAGCCAGGGGAGCAAACG
rnacentral:rRNA from 1 species